CGCUUUAAGGGCAGUGUGCUUGGCUGCGGAUGAGUGAAAAGACUUUUCUGCAUGGGCAGGAACAUUUCCCGUGACAGCGCUGCCGGCAGAGAGGGCAUCGGGGAUCUGGCAUCCCACCCGCGCUGCCCUGGCCGUCCCCCGAGUUGGCAGCGCAUUUUGCCCCACAGCCCACACUCCAUCCCACAGCAGCUGGCCCUGCGUGGCACACAUGGCUCGCCAGCCCUCUUACAAAAGGAAGGGCAGAAAUAUUAAGACUGGUCUGAAGAAUGUAUGGACAGAAAUGACUAUCAGUAAAAGCAACAGGAAGGGCAAUAGAGCAAAGUUAAGAAAAAACCUGAAACAUUUUGAUAACCAUGGACACAUUGACAACAAACAAACAGCAGCAAGAUACAAAUAUGACUACCAAUGGCAACUGGCGGUGGCAAGCACUGCUUGAGGAGCGUUUCAGAACUUCUUACACCCUACCAGAAGAGCAAAAGUCUGCCCAGAAGUAUAAAGAUUAAAAUGAACUGGGAACUAAUGUAAAACAGUAAUUCAGCUAAUAGACUUCUAUUAGUAGGAAGAAUGAGAUGCUGCAAACAACAGGCCUUAACAACAAUGGCCCAACAAUGAAGGACCUGACUUGCCUUCAACUACAACAGGACUGCUAAGGCAAUCAACACACACUGUGAAGAGCACAUGAUCACACAUGAACUUAUUUAUGUUACUUCUUCUUCCUCUUUUCUUAAAAAGCACUUUACAUCUCAUUAAAAUUCUAAU